rnacentral:lncRNA from 13 species
GUAUGGGGAGCAAAUUUUGAAUUGCUUUCAGAGAAAAAAAUAUAUAUACUGAUAGAAUGAAGAUAAUGGUAGCUAAUGUUUGACCAAACAGAUGUAGAAACUUUACAGGCUGAUCCAACAAUAAUCUUCUCCCAUUUUCUUUCAAAUGCACAACCCAAAGCGUAUACUUUUUAGUUUUACAAGGAAGGAUUCUCUCCAAGGAAAAGUUCAAGUGGAUUUUUGGCUACCCAGCAAAUUAUUCUAACAGCCAACUCUGUGAAAUACUGUAUCUAUGAAGAAAAUGAGACCUAGAGAAGUCAAGGACCUCGCCCAGGAUCCCUUGCCUGUAAGGAUGAAGCCAGGAUUCAAAUUCAGACAGCCCGGGUCCCAGAGCCAGCAUGCUUUUAACCUCAUUCACCUCUCUUCCAGGUAUCAGACCAACAGAAAACCAUGCAAGACCUGAUUGGAUGAUAUAAAAGGAUGUUGCAUAAGAAUCUGAAGUCGUCAUACACUGAAGAAUAACAAAAGGUAAGAUGACAAGGAAAAUGUACCCCUAAUAGCCAAACCUUGCUUAUUGCUUACCUGCUGCUGAGGGGUGACUAUAUAGAGUGUAGUAUAUGUUAAGGAAUAGGCAUGUCAUAUUUUGUUAAAGAUCCAAUUCAAACUUUUUUUUAUAUGAAGAGUUUAUUUGUUCAGUGAGUGGCUUAAUUUGUUUUUAUAUUGUAGUUGAAUAAUAAUUCUAGAAAGAGGUAUUGGCGUGGAUUUGUGUGGGAGCCUGGGCAACCUCUAAAUGAGAAUAAUAAUAACACCUGCCUCAGGGGCAGUAGUGAACAGUG